ACGAGAUCGUCUGUAGUAGUGUUCGUAAAUAAAAAACCUUAGCUUGGGAGGUGUUGGGUAUCCGGUGGUUUUCUUCAACGAGGACCCAGCACAGCGCCAAUACCAGCGACGUCCCAGUGUGCAGCCAGCGCUACCAACGAGCUGCCGCAACCCACCACCAGAGGACUCAGACAACAGUGGGUGGGGUAGCGAAGGAGUCGUGACAGGGUGAAUGGGGGUCAGGGGUGAAGGCAUGACGGAAGAGGUGGAGACGAAGGGUAGCAAGGACCGCCAUCGUCGAGCUGAUCCACAAACUCGGUCUAUUUCCCGGACGACACCAUCGCGAGCAGUUGGAACGCUCUUUCUACUGCUGUGCCCGAAAGUGAAGUUUACUUUUAAAGUGCCACAAAAGUGCUAGUUGUGCCACCCCAGAGCUUCAGGAGAAGCCGAAUUGUUCCCGUGUGGAAUUGGAGGACACCAGGACCCCUUGUGCUUUGGCAUAGCCAUUACGGCCAAGUGCACCAUCCGGAGACUCGCGCUACAUCCGAGUCGCCGCAGAAGCCGAACAGCUCGUACCUGUUCCUUAGUCCGGGAGUCCGGAUACCCUCGACGGUAAUCCGAAGGCCACUGCCGUAACCAUCGGUGGCGGAGGACAGGACGAGCCGCUUAACGGGUCCAUCGACGAUCGCGCCGGAGCGCCAGUAACACCCCGCGCGAUGACGAACGGCCUAGCCGUACGCCAAGAGAGAGAGAGUUGGUAGCAGAAGUGAGAGAAGAGGUUGAAGCGGAAGGAGAGGAGAGCAGGAAGCGGAAGGUGAAGUACCGGCGUCGCUGGAGUGCUGCGGUCGACGACGGGGCCCCGAAGAGAGGAGAAGAAGAAGAAGAAGUGAAAGGUCAGGUCAGUGUAGGAUUAAGAAAGUGGGAGGAAUAAAGCACUGUAGAAGAAGGAGAAAUAAAGUGUGUUUCUGACCCGCA